GGGUCAGUAGGUUGGUCGUGCCACCGGUACGUACUGGUCUCACUGAUUCCUCCUUCCUGAAGAACCGUAAUGCCAUUAAUUUGGUGUUGCGGGGAAACAGGACUGUUACUUUGAAAAAAUUAGAGUGUUUAAAGCAAUCUAACGCUUGAAUACAUUAGCAUUGAAUAAUGAAAUAGGACGAUCGAUCCUAUUUUGUUGGUUUCUAGGAUUGACGUA
rnacentral:rRNA from 1 species